UGGCGGACGGGUGAGUAACGCGUGGGUAACCUGCCUUACACAGGGGGAUAACACCUGGAAACAGGUGCUAAUACCGCAUAAGCGCACAGGGCCGCAUGGCCCGGUGUGAAAAACUCCGGUGGUGUAAGAUGGACCCGCGUCUGAUUAGCUUGUUGGCGGGGUAGAGGCCCACCAAGGCGACGAUCAGUAGCCGGCCUGAGAGGGUGGACGGCCACAUUGGGACUGAGACACGGCCCAAACUCCUACGGGAGGCAGCAG
rnacentral:rRNA from 1 species